rnacentral:rRNA from 1 species
ACUAGCUACUGGAUCAUAAGUGUGUCACUUAUGAAUAUGUAAAGAAAAAUGAUGAUGUCAUUUACUAUUAGUGUUGUCCAAAGCUGGUGCCAGAAGACUCGGUAAAGCCAGAGACGCAAGCGUUAAUCAUCUUGAUCAGGCGUAAAGGGUUUGUAGGCUUCUUUAACUUAAUUAAAGAUAGAAUCAUAUAGAGGUCACUGGUAAGAUAAUUCUAAGAGGAGGGUUGAUAUCUGUAGAUACUUAGAGGAAUAAUAAAUAGCGAAGGCACUUUUCCAAUUAAUGAUUGACGCUGAGACACGAAGGUGAGGAAAGACAAUAGGAUUAGAUACCCUGGCAUCCCUCUCUGUAAACGAUGAAUGGUAGUUGCUAGUGUAAAAAUUAGUGGCGAUGCUAACGCGUUAACCAUUCCGCCUUGUGAGUACGAUUGCAAAGUUGAAAACAAAAAAAUUAGUCGGUUUCGGAGUAAACGAAGUGAAGCAUGUUAUUUAAUUC